rnacentral:rRNA from 1 species
GGACCCGCACAAGCGGUGGAGCAUGUGGUUUAAUUCGAUGCAACGCGAAAAAACCUUACCUACUCUUGACAUACUUGGAAGCUCUUGUAAUGAGAGUGUGCCUUUUGGAACCAAGAUACAGGUGCUGCAUGGCUGUCGUCAGCUCGUGUCGUGAGAUGUUCCGUUAAGUCGGAUAACGAGCGCAACCCUUACCCUUAUUUGCCAGCGAUUCGGUCGGGAACUAUAAGGGGACUGCCGGUGAUAAACCGGAGGAAGGUGAGGACGACGUCAAGUCAUCAUGGCCCUUACGAGUAGGGCUACACACGUGCUACAAUGGUAACUACAACGGGACGCAAUACCGCGAGGUGGAG